UACGUAGGGUGCAAGCGUUAAUCGGAAUUACUGGGCGUAAAGCGUGCGCAGGCGGUUUUGUAAGUCUGUUGUGAAAUCCCCGGGCUCAACCUGGGAAUGGCAAUGGAGACUGCAAGGCUAGAGUUUGGCAGAGGGGGGUAGAAUUCCACGUGUAGCAGUGAAAUGCGUAGAGAUGUGGAGGAACACCGAUGGCGAAGGCAGCCCCCCUGGGCCUGCACUGACGCUCAUGCACGAAAGCGUGGGGAGCAAACAGG
rnacentral:rRNA from 1 species